rnacentral:lncRNA from 1 species
AGUUUUGAAGUUCGGUUUCUUUUUUAUUUUUGCUAUUAGUUUUUGAGUAUUAUGUUGGAUAUUUUUGAGUCAAAAAAGUGACCAAAAAUCAUUUUGAAAUUUUGCCGAAUUUUUUAGAGGAAAAGGUCAUAAAUAAAGCCAGAAGUCUGCCAUAAUUAAGAUUACAACUGCUAAGGACCUAAGGUAAGUAGAUAUUAUGGAUUCAUUAGCCUACGUAAGUUUGGACUAUUUU